UAACGAAUCUUCCGCAAUGCGCGAAAGCGUGACGGAGCAAUGCCGCGUGCAGGAUGAAUCCCUUCGGGGUGUAAACUGCUGUCAGGGUUUAGCAACACAAUGAGCAGACCCAAAGGAAGGGCCGGCUAACUUCGUGCCAGCAGCCGCGGUAAUACGAAGGGCCCGAGCGUUGCGCGGAAUCACUGGGCUUAAAGCGUACGUAGGCGGGCGCAUAGGUACCUUGUGAAAUCCCUCGGCUCAACCGAGGAAUUGCUUGGUAAACCAUGUGCCUUGAGGCAGGUAGGGGCUGUCGGAACGAUAGGUGGAGCGGUGAAAUGCGUUGAUAUCUAUCGGAACGCCAAAGGAGAAAUCAGACAGCUGGGCCUGUCCUGACGCUGAGGUACGAAAGCGUGGGUAGCGAACGGGAUUAGAUACCCCCGUAGUCC
rnacentral:rRNA from 1 species